AAUUAUAACAUUUAAUUUGCACUUAAAAAAUAUUGAAUAUUCAAUUUAUCUUU
rnacentral:tRNA from 1 species